CACCCUAUGGAAAUUCCAAAUUCCUCUGUGGGGUGGGUAUGGAUAAUUCCUGAAACUACACAUUAAUGGUCAAAAAGUAACAGUAUAAAAUUAAGUUUGUACCAGUGUCUUUCAGACCAAUAUCUAUACAUUGAAAUUACUGUUAUUUCAUUGGCUUUUGGUGUGAUGACUGAUGGAUGGAAUACAAGAUCUAGAGGGUUAAGCACAAGGUCAUUACACAAUUAGAAUGUCUAGGUAAAAAGAAAACGUGCGGUAAAAAGCUGUCAGUUGUCAAUAUCUUUUUGCUUAAAAAUUAAAAUUUGAUCAUUAUGUGAUCUAUUGGGCCUAGUAUAUGUCUUUAAAAAUAAUUAAAUUGUCAUAACUGCAGUUGGAUUUUUAUAAAUUAAUGCUGCAUAAGGAGAACUUAAUUUGGAAUUAUUUUUGUACGAUGAAGAAAAUUACUAACCCUUUAUACUGAUAGUACACAAUUCUUUGUUUGACCACCCAAGACAUAAAUAUACCAUUGUGUGAAGUGUUUCUCGGUUCACUGGUCUGUUUCAAAAACAGUGUGAUUCUUUGCUAUUUUGCUACUUUAUAGUCUUAUUAUGAUAUAAUUUAGUUAAAUCCAUCUACUGGUCUUCCAUCAAUGCUGCAUUCUGAUUGAUAAGUCAUAGCUUACUAGUAGAGAAAAGUGCCAGCUUUGAAAACCAAAAGAUUAAAUUUAACUUUAAUCCAUCUAUAUAUAUUUUUGACCUACUACAUGUAGUUGGAUUUUACUAAAACUAUUAGUGCUCUUGCUCUCAUGGUCUAUUAUUCAAUAGCUCAUUAAGGCUUGAGGACUAAUUGCAAAAUAUCUGAUUCCCAAGCUUUUUACCAAAGAUUAAAGAUGUCAAUAAAUAUGUGAUAUCCCACUGCUAUGUACGCCAUGAGGCAACAGAGGCUUAGCAUAUUGUUGUGACUAAAUGUGUUGAUGCUGUCUUAAUUAUAUUAUUCAUGCCUCAUGUGUGUAAAUUAUAAAACAGAAGUUAUUUUUGAGCAGUGAAAACUAUAUGAUGAUGCAAUGUCUCAUGGCUGACAUUCUGCAGAAUGAAUCAAAAAAUGAAAGAAAAAGUCAAUGUUAAGGUCAUUCAAAUGCAUGUAACUGCAAAACUUAGUAUAAGAGUCAAUGUCUAAUUGUACAAUAUCAAUAAAUACAUUUGGUAUGGUGUGACUUGGAUAUAGAGUUUCAUACAUGCUGUGAUUGUCGAGAGACCAGUGAUUCUGAGUUCAUAAUCAUUGCUUGAGCGGUGAUAAUGAGGUUUCCCAAAGUUUGCAAGAGGAAGUAAUACUAAAACGUUUUUUUAAUCCUGUAUUCUAUCUUUUCUCUGAAAGUCAUACUAAAUCAUACUAAAGCAAUAUUAUUCACUGCAGGCUUAGUGAUUAUUGUAAAUAUUUACCUCACUGCUUGAUUGAAGACUCRGGCUGCUCUGUGAAUAUUCCUAGAUAAUCACUUCGCCUUUGGCAAAUAAUUUUUAAAUAAUUAGAUGUCCUAAUCUCUGUCAACAAAACUAAAGCCUUGCAAAAAGUACCAUUUCCUGACUUUCCAUCCCCUCCCAUAAAUAUAAUAAACCAAUUGAUUUCAUCAUUAUAAAAUUUGGAAAAAUUCUUCUGGUUUGCAAGACUGUAUAUCUUGAGAAUAAAGGAAAGAAAGAGCAUUUCCACUUCUUUUCCUUUCUUUCUGGAUUCAGAGACCGGAUAUAAUACAGGAUUUAACCUUGACCCUGAUUGGUUUACCUGCGAAGUUGCACACGGAUAUAAAAUUCUAGGUUUCGCGCCAAAAAUACGUAGUGACCGGAGUCACGAAGACCUUCAAAACGAAACGGAAACUAGAGACCAUUAUUUGGAAUAUUUACGUGCGAAAUUUCAUACCUCGGCUGAUUUAAAGAAAUAAGCACCCCUUCAGGUUGCUUGGUUGCUGCAAGGGCUGGAAGAAAACUCGUUGUCACAUCAGUCUUAGCAAGAAAUAAUGCACUUUAUUCUUUAUCAUAAAAUAACAAGUAUUCGUACUAUUAAAGUAUCAUUCCCGAAGACGUUAUGA